GCAUAUCAAUAAGCGGAGGAAGAUUCCGUAGGUGAAGAUGCUCUUCGGAUAUAAAUAAGUUGACUUAUAAUACACAAAGUCGAUGAAUGUAUACAAAUUUAUAACAAAACAAAACUUUCAACAACGGAUCUCUUGGCUCUCGCAUCGAUGAAGAACGCAGCGAAAUGCGAUACGUAAUGUGAAUUGCAGAAUUCAGUGAAUCAUCGAAUCUUUGAACGCACCUUGCGCUCCUUGGUAUUCCGAGGAGCAUGCCUGUUUGAGUGUCAUGAAAUCUUCAACCCACCUCUUUCUUAGUGAAUCUGGUGGUGCUUGGUUUCUGAGCGCUGCUCUGCUUCGGCUUAGCUCGUUCGUAAUGCAUUAGCAUCCGCAACCGAACUUCGGAUUGACUUGUCGUAAUAGACUAUUCGCUGAGGAUUCUAGUUUUACUAGAGCCGAGUUGGGUUAAAGGAAGCUCCUAAUCCUAAAGUCUAUUUUUUUGAUUAGAUCUCAAAUCAGGUAGGACUACCCGCUGAACUUAAGCAUAUCAAUAAGCGGAGGGAAA
rnacentral:rRNA from 1 species